rnacentral:ncRNA from 1 species
CAUGACGCGAUGAUGGAGAGAGUAAGUCAGCCACUGCUUUACAGGGAGGGUCCGCCAUAGAUUGGAAGCGGGUCUAAGACAGACUGACUGAAGUUCACUCUGGAGCGACCGGACUGAAGGUCUCCGCGUAGGUCAGGCGCACCCCAGCGUUAUUGGGACAGAGGCGCUCAGCAUUGGCUGACGCAAUUUGGGUGGUACCGCGGAAGUUGGACUUUCGCCCCUUAG